UCCUACGGGAGGCAGCAGUGGGGAAUCUUAGACAAUGGGCGCAAGCCUGAUCUAGCCAUGCCGCGUGAGUGAUGAAGGCCCUAGGGUCGUAAAGCUCUUUCGCCUGUGAAGAUAAUGACUGUAGCAGGUAAAGAAACCCCGGCUAACUCCGUGCCAGCAGCCGCGGUAAUACGGAGGGGGUUAGCGUUGUUCGGAAUUACUGGGCGUAAAGCGCGCGUAGGCGGACAUUUAAGUCAGAGGUGAAAUCCCAGGGCUCAACCCUGGAACUGCCUUUGAUACUGGGUGUCUUGAGUUCGAGAGAGGUGAGUGGAAUUCCGAGUGUAGAGGUGAAAUUCGUAGAUAUUCGGAGGAACACCAGUGGCGAAGGCGGCUCACUGGCUCGAUACUGACGCUGAGGUGCGAAAGUGUGGGGAGCAAACAGGAUUAGAUACCCUGGUAGUCCACACCGUAAACGAUGAAUGCCAGUCGUCGGGCAGUAUACUGUUCGGUGACACACCUA
rnacentral:rRNA from 1 species